rnacentral:rRNA from 1 species
AGCAGCCGCGGUAAUUCCAGCUCCAAUAGCGUAUAUUAAGGUUGUUGCAGUUAAAAAGCUCGUAGUUGAAUUUCGGGGUCAGUAGAUUGGUCGUGCCACUGGUAUGUACUGGUCUUACUGGCUCCUCCUUCCUGAUGAACCGUAAUGCCAUUAAUUUGGUGUUGCGGGGGGAAACUGGACUGUUACUUUGAAAAAAUUAGAGUGUUUAAAGCAGGCUAACGCUUGAAUACAUUAGCAUGGAAUAAUGAAAUAGGACGUUCGAUCUUAUUUUGUUGGUUUCUAGGAUUUGACGUAAUGAUUAAUAGGGAUAGUUGGGGGCAUUAGUAUUCAAUUGUCAGAGGUGAAAUUCUUGGAUUUUAUUGAAGACUAACUACUGCGAAAGCAUUUGCCAAGGAUGUUUUCAUUAAUCAAGAACGAAAGUUAGGGGAUCGAAGACGAUCAGAUACCGUCGUAGUCUUAACCAUAAACUAUGCCGACUAGGGAUCGGAUGAUGUUAAUUUUUANGUACUUCAUUCGGCGC